UCCAGAACAGAGCUAGCUUGUAUAGCGAUCCGUCUAUUUGUCUGGUUUUGUCGAUAAGUAUAAUUGUUGAGGAAUAUAUAUCACCUUAUAUGCAUUAACGGUGGAGCAACUGGACAUGCUUAGUUGUCUGCUAGCAAGUGUGACAACAGUGAAGAAGACUCACCACGCGUUAGCUACAAUGUAAGCUCCACCUGGCCUCUAAAGAUGGGCCGUAUUGAGAAGAGUGCGGAGGCCCACAAAGGAGCUGUGUUAGCCAGGAGAUGGAACUACGACAAGACCGCUCUCAUCACAGCUGGGGAGGAUGGGCACGUCAAGAUCUGGUCUAAGAGUGGCAUGCUGAGGUCCACCUUGGCCAGGGUCUCCUGUAUACUCGGUGGCCUGGAGCCCGGACUCUGAUAGGAUCCUGUACACGUCAGGCAGACUGCUGAUAAUCAGGCCCCUGAAACCCAGCGCCAAGGUCCAACAGUGGAAGUCCCAUGAUGGGUCCAUUCUGAAGGUGGACUGGAACUCUGUGAAUGACCUGAUACUGUCAAGUGGAGAGGACUGUAAAUACAAGGUGUGGAACAGCUAUGGUCGUCUGCUCUACACGUCCUCGUCACAUGACUACCCUGUGACCUCCAUGUCCUGGUCUCCGGAUGGGGAGGUGUUCGCAGUGGACUCCUUCAACAGCCUGCAUCUCUGUGACAAGCCCAGGAGUAGGGAGGCCUUCAGGAGGGGGAGACCUGGGAGAUGGGGGACAUGCCACCCUGCCGAUUAGCGUGCUGUGAGGAGAAGCAGGCCUGUCUGCAGCGUGGUCGUAUGCGUUGGAGAAGCCUAACACUGGUCAGCAGACGGCACGCAGCUCACAGGGACCCUCACCAAGAGGAGGACCAUGCAGGUGAGGAAUGUGGUGAAUGAUGCGGGGGAUGUUCUGGAGUUCAGGGACCAGGUCACCAAAGCCUCUCCGGCCCACGGUCACCUAGUGGUCACCACCUCUCUCCAGUACUAUGCCUCCAGUGCUAAGAACUGGAACACACCUCUCAUUUUUGACCCGAAGGAGGGGACCGUCAGCCUCAUUAUACAGGCUGAGAAACACUUCCUGUUGGACGGGGGUCUAUGUGUUCUCCUACGAGGGCCGUCUCAUCUCUACGCCCAGAUUCCCCGGCAUGAGAACGGACAUCCUCAAUGCCCAGUCAGUCUCCCUUAGCAACGCCACCAUCGCCAUCCGGGACAAGAGCGAUGAGAAGGAUGGAGGUGGUGGAGAUAGGUCUGGACCAGUGUGGCCCGUCCAGCGAGAGGAAGAUCGCAGUCAUAGACAAGAACCGUGACCUGUACCUGACCGCUGUGCAUCGCCUCUACAGAGAACACAACAUCUGCAAGAUAGGUUCACACCAUGUCCUAGAAUGACUCCGCUAACAUCCUGUGUGGUAUUCAGGACACACAGUUCACUGUGUGGCACUAUCCCGGUGCGGUCUUCACUGGACCUGCUGGCUAAAACACUCAGUGAGUUCAGCCGUGCGGCCCACAUCCUGAACUAUGUGGGGACCCAGGUGACGGCUCGUUGGUGUACAGCAGCUUACCUACACCACCGUGCUGCAUGAGUACAGCGCCUACUUUCGCUGGGAGGACGCACUGCGCCUCUGCCGCUUUGCCAAGGACGAGUUGCUGUGGGUGUGUCUCGCCGGCAUGGCAAUGGCCAAUAGGGACAUGACGACAGUGGAGGUGGCCUACGCUGCCGUUGGAGAGGGCGUUGGAGCUGGCAGUAAAACAUAAGACCCAUGUGGACACAGUGCAGGCCUACAGCCUCCAAGUUCCUGCAGGACUUUAGCAAGAAAGAGACCAACAAGAGGUUCAUGCAGUACGCUGACAGGUGGAGGUGAACUGGGAAAAGAUCCAGGUUAAGGAGAGAGAGAAGGCUGCCAUCACCUCUGUCGGGAGCAGCUUGGCCUCUCGACUCUGACCCUUGAACCCACACCUCUGACCUCAUCCAGGGACCAAAUGUACAACAUAUUUUCAAGUCGUCAUUUAUCAAACAUGAUGCAGACCAGAAGACAUUCAAGCAGAACUUUGAGAGCAAGCAUCCCAAGUCUCCAAUUGUCCCAAUACUGGUUGAUGUGCAGACCUAAGUGACCACACACACUGAAAUGGACCUACAGCUUGGGUAAGAUUCUUCUAUCAUUCACACACAGUAGACAUAGUGUAAACCGCCAUGUUGUCAACAAAAGGCUGUCCUCAAUGCUUAAGUUGUAUUUUGUAUGGCUUAAUUUCUGGAAAUGUGGUGAUCACUCAUUGUCUUUAAAGUUGUGAUUCACAGACACACGAUGACCACGAUUUGAAUGCUGCAACUGAGACGGCAUGAGGGACACAGAGACCCUGUGCAUGACUGGAUAUUUGUGACAAUGACCUAAAAGGGCUGCAGAAGCACACCAGCCCCCAUUUAGUUUAUUCCACAACUAAGCAUCCCUCUAGCUACCCCUUAUUCCACAGUGCCUUUUAUGCCCCAUGGUCCCUCAACAUCAGACAUUUUGGAACUCUCCAUCUUAUCUCUAUAAACCCACCCUAACUUCACCCAUUUUCUCUCUGCUGCUUCCUACAUUGGUUCUUCUCCUGAUUUGAUAACGUCUAGACUAAGUAAACAAAGUGUUGUGGUGCACUGUGUUUGUAACUUUUUUUUCACCAGUGUAAUACUGUCCUGCUUAUUUUGUGGUUCAGACUGAAUGCAGUGGUAAAUGUUCUGCUCACAACUGACAUCAGCAAUAUGGGCCUGUUACAUUGACAAGAAGGGUGUUGAUAUAGCUGCGUUCAGGCACGGCUUCCUUGUUUUGAGUCUAUUGAGUGUGUCUUAUUCUGCUGGAGUUGACCUAGUAUUUUAUAUUAAACCUACCUUACAUAUCCAGUUGUUUCUCCAUUUGUAUCUCACCCACCAAAAAUCACAAUAUCCUGUUUUACAGGUUGUGUUAUUUGUGCUGGUUUAAUUCCUAAAAUGGAAAAUAAGAAGAAUCUGUGGCUCUCUGAUAGUAAUAAGAGUUCAUAUGGUGAUCUUCGAUGUCCCAGGUUUGUAGCAUUGAUUAAUAAAUCAUUGAAUCUUUAUUUCAAGUCAGAUGUUUAUAUGUUAUGUAUGAAAGGCAUACUGUAUGCAUUGUUUACUAUUUUUGUUUAUUAAAAUGUCAUUGUUUGA